GAUGAACGCUGGCGGCGUGCCUAAUACAUGCAAGUCGAACGGGGAGUAGCAAUACUUCUAGUGGCGAACGGGUGAGUAACGCGUUGGUGACCUGCCCCGAAGCGUGGGAUACCAAUCCGAAAGGAUUGCUAAUACCGCAUGGAGUUCUCGAGAUUAGAGGCUUGGGAACGAAAGGAGACAUUCACUUCGGGAGGGGCCUGCGUCCCAUCAGCUAGUUGGUGAGGUAACGGCUCACCAAGGCGAUGACGGGUAGGGACCUGAGAGGGUGCCCCCCCANAAUGGAACUGAAACACGGUCCAUACACCUACGGGUGGCAGCAGUAGGGAAUAUUGCAAAAUGGGCGCAAGCCCGAUGCAGCAACG
rnacentral:rRNA from 1 species